rnacentral:rRNA from 1 species
CAGCCGUAAACUAUGCUCGCUAGGUGUCAGGCAUGGCGCGACCGUGUCUGGUGCCGCAGGGAAGCCGUGAAGCGAGCCACCUGGGAAGUACGGCCGCAAGGCUGAAACUUAAAGGAAUUGGCGGGGGGAGCACAACAACGGGCGGAGCCUGCGGGUUUAAUUGGACUCAACGCCGGGAAGCUCACCCGGAUAAGACAGCGGAAUGAUUGCCGGGCUGAAGACUCUGCAUGACUAGCUGAGAGGAGGUGCAUGGCGUAGACGU